AACGUAGGUUCCGAGCGUUAUCCGGAUUUACUGGGCGUAAAGCGCGUUCAGGCGGUUUGGCAAGUCGGGCAUGAAAUCUCUCGGCUCAACCGGGAGAGGUUGUCCGAUACUGCUGGACUUGAGGGCAGUAGAGGGUGGUGGAAUUCCGGGUGUAGUGGUGAAAUUCGUAGAUAUGGGGAGGAACACCGGUGGCGAAGGCGGCCACCUGGACGGUAACUGACGCUGAGACGCGAAAGCGUGGGUAGCAAACAGG
rnacentral:rRNA from 1 species